UACGUAUGUCGCAAGCGUUAUCCGGAAUUAUUGGGCAUAAAGGGCAUCUAGGCGGCCAGACAAGUCUGGGGUGAAAACUUGCGGCUCAACCGCAAGCCUGCCCUGGAAACUGUUUGGCUAGAGUGCUGGAGAGGUGGACGGAACUGCACGAGUAGAGGUGAAAUUCGUAUAUAUGUGCAGGAAUGCCGAUGAUGAAGAUAGUUCACUGGACGGUAACUGACGCUGAAGUGCGAAAGCUGGGGGAGCGAACAGG
rnacentral:rRNA from 1 species